GUGGGGAAUAUUGGACAAUGGGCGAAAGCCUGAUCCAGCCAUGCCGCGUGUGUGAAGAAGGUCUUCGGAUUGUAAAGCACUUUAAGUUGGGAGGAAGGGCAGUAAGUUAAUACCUUGCUGUUUUGACGUUACCGACAGAAUAAGCACCGGCUAACUUCGUGCCAGCAGCCGCGGUAAUACGAAGGGUGCAAGCGUUAAUCGGAAUUACUGGGCGUAAAGCGCGCGUAGGUGGUUUUGUAAGUUGGCGGUGAAAUCCCCGGGCUCAACCUGGGAACUGCCUCAAAAACUGUAUGACUAGAGUACGGUAGAGGGUAGUGGAAUUUCCUGUGUAGCGGUGAAAUGCGUAGAUAUAGGAAGGAACACCAGUGGCGAAGGCGACUACCUGGACUGAUACUGACACUGAGGUGCGAAAGCGUGGGGAGCAAACAGGAUUAGAAACCCCUGUAGUCC
rnacentral:rRNA from 1 species